AAUAGAUGUGGUCAAGAAUGACAAUGUGGUCAAAAAUUUUCUCUCUCUCAGAGGCCCGUGCGGUGGCGGAUCCCUCCUUUCAGGCAAAGGUGCAACUCGCUGUGAAAGCCGCAGCUUGUGCAUCUUUUGCCUACUUCUUUUGUGGGACGGCCCCGUUGAUCGUACGCAUCGUCAAAACGGAAAGGGAGAUCACCAAGUCCGGGCCAGCCUUUUAUUUGAAAUUGAGUGAAGGGGUGGAAACUGAGUGAAGAGAAACAGACAGUGGCCUUAAGCAUUCAAGUGAAUUUUAUUUUGCUGCUUAUAUAAACUUUAAUUUAAGGGUGCCCUGUAAUAUGCGAGUAGUUGUAAUUAUUCGCAUUUGUAUGUAACCGUAUGUCUUUAAUGGUGUUAUUUUGAGACUCAAAAGUAUCACUAUUUAUAUACUACUGAAUGUUUAAGCAUUAGUCCCA